UAGUUUUGAGAAUUGUUUGCGUUAGGCAGAAGCUUCUCAUUUUCAUUUUUACUGCCACCAGCGAACUGUUAUUCGACCAUCAUCACCACCACCACCAUUGGUUCUCUCACUGUUGAUGAUCCUCGCCAUUUUUCUGUUUUUGCUUCCUCUUAAACAUGAAUCUUUCACUUCCUGUAGGUGUGGACAACAGGAACAAUGGGGGAACUGAGCCCGGUUGUCAAAAUUGAUGGACGUAUAGUUGGUGAUGGUCGAGUGGGAGCUAUGACACAGAGAUUGCAAAAUUCUUACAAGAAUCUGGCAAAGGAUUCAGGAGUGCCUAUACCAACCUAUCACAAGAGCUAAAUUACAUACUUUCCAGGUUCACCUUUAACCUAUUUGUUCAUAUGAUAUGAGGUGUCCAAAACAACAGAGAAUUUUGGAUAGAUUUUAUUUAAAAGAAUUGACUAAACAUAGGAGUAAUAAUUAAAUUCGAAUCAAAGUUGUUCAAA